GAAACCUUUACAACGCCUUCACUUGAGGAAUCAAUUCUGAUGAGUUCUUUUGGAAUUGCGCUUCAAAGACGAAAGGCGCAGCAGACAUCAACAAAAUAUCUAGACAUAAUUCACAUUUGCUGUACGACCACGCAUGGAUAAACAGCAACGUGAACCUCAAGAGAUCGCAUAGAAUGCUGGUCACGUGGUGUUAAUUAUGACAGACAGUGAUCAGAUAACUCUCUAUAGUUGUCAUUUGUGUGGAUUCUGUGAAACGAGUUUGGCCGCACUUACCAAACAUACAGCGUCUCAUAUUAAAGCCGAACCAGUCAGUGAAAUUUCGAGGCCACCUCAAAAUGGCAGAUUUGAGCUAAUCCAACGGAAUGGUCCAGUAAUGGCAAACAUGACAGAUGCGCAAUCUUCUGAGCAAAGUGAUGGAACGUCGAGAGAAAAAUCCUGGGCCCAAUGGUGUGGUGCUAUCAAAAUAACAAGGGGGGCUCUUGCACAAAAUGAUGUGAAAAACAAUAGCAAAAGUAGAAAUUUACAAAUUUUUGGCAUCAACAAGGGGUCUCAGGGAAGCUCGACAGCCCUGCCUGGGCCUCAUUCUUCUUUCAAUUCAGAUCAAACGCUCCACUACAUUGUUUAUGACAAUCACUUGCCCAGACCUGUUGCGCGAAUGAUUGUCAAACGCGUUAAUGUAUCAGUAGUAUACAAGAUUAUUAUUGUUCAUUGCUUCGAUUGUUUAUUCUUACGUUUAAAAGCCUGUUCUCUUUGUUUUUCUGGAAUGUUUUAAAUGUUAAAUGAACAAAUGUUUAGGCAUUAUGGAUGGUCUAGUUUUCAGUCAUUUGAGCACUCCAGAUCUACUAAAAUUCGGAAUUCUUCUGCCCCCAACCCUGCACCCCAGUUCCAUUGUUCGCUAGCUGCGCUCAUGAAAUCUCACAGGUAUUAUUUUCCAAAACUUGGUAACCUUGUCUCAAGGACUAGAAAGUUAUUUGAGUUUAAGCGCACUUUGAUAGAAGAGGCAAUGGGAUGAAAAGCUAGAUGGUAGUUUUUUUAAAAUGAAGAAAGCACGAUGGAUUCAAACUAGUGACAAUUUCACUCUUGCAGCAUUCAAUUGUUGCUUAUCGUAAACAGCACUUCUGUUUCAGGUUAGUUGAGAGAUCUUGGCAGGUGGCAGAGUAUAUUGAUUUGUUAAUCAUAAAAUCUGGCGUAUUCUACGAAAAGGCUAAUUAGGAUUUUCCUAAAACCGCAAAUGCAAAUUCUCUGUAAUUUCCCAAGACAACGAUAAAUUGCAGGCAGGCUGCAACAUUAUUGCCUCAGUUUAAUCACAACCGGUAUUUUUUUAUUAACUAAGCCGUGUUAUUAUUCAAAUGCAGAUUCGGGAGAUGAUGAAAAGUCAAGUCUCGGUUCUUGUUAGAUUCACAUUUUUACGAAAUUUGGAAGAAGUUCGAGUUUGAUCGUAAUUAUUCCAUAAACCCUGUCGAAAUUUUACCUAUAGACAAUGCACCUCCUCUGCCACAAAAUAAUGAUAUGUAUACAAACAAUCUUUUUCUGGUACAAAAUUUAAAAAUAUUGAGACGUUUUAUCCUCUGAAAAGUAUAUUGCGUUGAACAUAUUUUUACGUUCUUGUGAUCUGACGUUUUUUAUUCUCAGACUCUCUGAUGAAAAGCUUUAGUAUGAUACAAAAUGUUUGCUUUUUCCAAGAUUUUUGAAUAGUUUACAACGAACAGAGCAGUUUAUAAAAGCUGUCUAAAAAAAGUGAACUGAAACCCCGGAAAUCACAUUAAACCAGAGGAAACAGUGUAUGCUGUCGACAUUUUUAAAGUCCGGCCUAGUUUUAGAAAUUCCUUGAUAGGAUGGGCUAGCCCCAGCCUUUUUUCGUUUUCCGUUUCAUUUCGUGCCUAGGAAAUUGCAUAUUACUUAGAAACUUAAACAAUAAGCUAGACUGGUCGUGUAAACAAUGCUCGUUUCUCAUAAAGCAAGUCAAAUAACCUGUACAUUGUUACAAAGAAAAACAAAGAAAAGAUUUGUUUUGGAUCAGUCUUAGCUAGACUUCAUUUGGCCUGCCUUGGCUUAGCUUGGACCUAGUUUGGCUUUGACUUAAUUUCGCUCUGUCUUUUUUUGACCUUUUCUUAAAUUUUCUUUCCUUUAUAUGACGUGCAUUAACUUUAUUUGACUUAACUUGACCUAACCCCUUCUACCACUAUUUAUUGCUGACUGUUCUUUGCAAGACUCGGUAUUGGCCUUCCCCAAGACUCGGUUUUGGCGCUCCCCAUAUCAUUUAUUUUUAUGAUUUUUUCCUGGGCAUACUUUAACCAUGCAGACGGUCCUGCUAUCUGUCGACGGUCCUGCUAUUGGUUCAGAUCUGCGCCCAAUCAAAUAGUCGCUUGAAGGAGAUACAGCGAUGUCAUUCACUAUAAAAUUAACUUUAUAUAAAUGUUGAUGACAGCGUUGACAACUUGUCUUUGGGAAAAAAGACAAUGAUAAAGUAGCUGUUAAUAUUUUUGGGCCUUUGAUAAAUAAAAUUGAUUCUCGGUGUGAAACGAAUUUAAAAAGUCCUUUUAAUAACCUUUAUCAGAAAAAGACUCAGAAGCUCCGUGCAUUUGCAAGGGUGUCAAGAUUUAUGGAAAGUAAUAAUAUAAUCAACAAUGGCCCCAUGUCAUAAUUGUCCACUUGUGUGGACGUUUCAUGACAGGAAAUCCAGUUAUCGGAUCAGCAAGAUACAUUAACAAGCCUUAUGAAUCUUAGACAAAGAAAGAAACUUAAAUUAUGAUGAAUAUGAGUAUUAUCUCAGUAUCUGUGCGCCAGAAGAAUUUACAGCUGUUCCUGUUCAAAAUAU